AGUGAACGCUGGCGGUAGGCCUAACACAUGCAAGUCGAACGGCAGCACAGUAAGAGCUUGCUCUUACGGGUGGCGAGUGGCGGACGGGUGAGGAAUACAUCGGAAUCUACUUUUUCGUGGGGGAUAACGUAGGGAAACUUACGCUAAUACCGCAUACGACCUACGGGUGAAAGCAGGGGAUCUUCGGACCUUGCGCGAUUGAAUGCGCCGAUGUCGGAUUAGCUAGUUGGCGGGGUAAAGGCCCACCAGGGCGCCGAUCCGUAGCUGGUCUGAGAGGAUGAUCAGCCACUCUGGAACUGAGACACGGCACAGACUCCGACGUGAGGCAGCAGUGGGGAAUGUUGGACAAUGGGCGCAAGCCUGAUCCAGCCAUACCGCGUGGGUGAAGAAGGCCUUCGGGUGGUAAAGCCCUUUUGUGGUGAAAGAAAAGCAGCAGGUUAAUACCCCGCUGUUCGGACGGUACCCAAAGAAUAAGCACCGGCUAACUUCGG
rnacentral:rRNA from 1 species